rnacentral:tRNA from 1 species
AAGAGUAUAGCGCAGUGUGGCAGCGCGUCGGCGUAAAGGGCCGAAGGUCGUAGGUUCAAGUCCUGCUACUCUA